rnacentral:rRNA from 1 species
GACGAACGCUGGCGGCGUGCUUAACACAUGCAAGUCGAACGGUAAGGCCCUUCGGGGUACACGAGUGGCGAACGGGUGAGUAACACGUGGGUGAUCUGCCCUGCACUUCGGGAUAAGCCCGGGAAACUGGGUCUAAUACCGGAUAGGACCACUGCCUGCAUGGGUGGUGGUGGAAAGCUUUUGCGGUGGGGGAGGGGCCCGCGGCCUAACAGCGUGUGGGUGGGGUGAUGGCCUACCAAGGCGUCGACGGGUAGCCGGCCUGAGAGGGUGACCGGCCGCACUGGGACUGUGGUACGGCCCAGACUCCUACGGGAGGCAGCAGUGGGGAAUAUUGCACAAUGGGCGCAAGCCUGGUGCAGCGACGCCGCGUGAGGGAUGACGGCCUUCGGGUUGUAAACCUCUUUCAGCACCGACGAAGCGCAAGUGACGGUAGGUGCAGAAGAAGGACCGGCCAACUACGUGCCAGCCGCCGCCGUAA